rnacentral:tRNA from 1 species
GGAUGGGUGGCCGAGCGGUUUAAGGCACCGGUCUUGAAAACCGGCGUGGGUGCAAACUCACCGUGGGUUCGAAUCCCACCCCAUCCGCCA